GAGUUUGAUCUUGGCUCAGAACGAACGCUGGCGGCAGGCUUAACACAUGCAAGUCGAACGGACGUAGCAAUACGUUAGUGGCGCACGGGUGAGUAACGCGUGGAUAUCUGCCUUUUGGUUCGGGAUAACCUUGGGAAACUAGGGCUAAUACCGAAUGGUUCCUACGGGAUAAAGAUUUAUCGCCAAAAGAUGAGUCCGCGUCCGAUUAGCUAGUUGGCGGGGUAACGGCCCACCAAGGCGACGAUCGGUAGCUGGCCUGAGAGGACGAUCAGCCACACUGGGACUGAGACACGGCCCAGACUCCUACGGGAGGCAGCAGUGGGGAAUAUUGCACAAUGGGCGCAAGCCUGAUGCAGCAACGCCGCGUGCAUGAUGAAGGCCUUCGGGUCGUAAAA
rnacentral:rRNA from 1 species